rnacentral:lncRNA from 1 species
UUGCAGGUCAGAAUCACUGGAUUUUGGGCUGCUCCUCGCUCUUCGCUCUGUCUUCUUGAUCCCAGGUCCACCGCCGCUGCCACCUCCCCCACCUCCACUGCUCCCUCCACUGUGGCCUUUCCCGUAGCCAUUGUACACUGUGGCGCAGCUGUUCUUGUAGAUGGUGGAAGGUGGGCUGUUGAGGCGGUUCUGGCGGUCGAUCUGGCGGUCCUUCAGCUUCUUAUGUGGAGGCUUGCUGUACUGGUCUUCUCGGGUGACGUAGCUCGACAUUCCAUACAGGGGGAUAAUUUCUAGAAUGAACGUGUGCAAGGCUGGCUCGCUAUAUAUUGUGGGAGGAAGGUGAGGCUGGGGGAAAAACUGGGGUGGCAUAUCUCCAGGCACGGUGACGGGCGGGUAGUAGGCGGUGUGCGAGUUCUGGAUGAAGUGUGGAUGGUGGGUCAGAUAAGGGGGCAGGUGAUGGGUUGGAGACAUGGCUGAGGGAUAACUCGGUGGGUAGCACUCAGGAGACUGCGGUGUGACCACCACCCGGCGGACUCCGGUGCUGUCUUCAAU